UGGGGAAUUUUGGACAAUGGGCGAAAGCCUGAUCCAGCAAUGCCGCGUGUGUGAAGAAGGCCUUCGGGUUGUAAAGCACUUUUGUCCGGAAAGAAAUCCUUGGCUCUAAUACAGUCGGGGGAUGACGGUACCGGAAGAAUAAGCACCGGCUAACUACGUGCCAGCAGCCGCGGUAAUACGUAGGGUGCAAGCGUUAAUCGGAAUUACUGGGCGUAAAGCGUGCGCAGGCGGUUUGCUAAGACCGAUGUGAAAUCCCCGGGCUCAACCUGGGAACUGCAUUGGUGACUGGCAGGCUAGAGUAUGGCAGAGGGGGGUAGAAUUCCACGUGUAGCAGUGAAAUGCGUAGAGAUGUGGAGGAAUACCGAUGGCGAAGGCAGCCCCCUGGGCCAAUACUGACGCUCAUGCACGAAAGCGUGGGGAGCAAACAGGAUUAGAUACCCUGGUAGUCCAGCGCCCUAAACGAUGUCAACUAGUUGUUGGGGAUUCAUUUCCUUAGUAACGUAGCUAACGCGUGAAGUUGACCGCCUGGGGAGUACGGUCGCAAAGAUUAAAACUCAAAUGAAUUGACGGGGUCAUAGCUG
rnacentral:rRNA from 1 species